rnacentral:rRNA from 1 species
GUUUUUUUGGGUUUUUUUUUUUUCCCGGGAAACAGCUCGGGGGGUGCCUAUACCCGCGAGUUUAACGAAUACAUUUAGAGCCUGCUUUUAUGAAGUUAUCGGCGGACGGGUGAGUAACACGUGGGUAACCUGCCCAUAAGACUGGGAUAACUCCGGGGAAACCUGGGGAAAUACCGGAUAAUACUUUGAACCGCAUGGUUCAAAAAUGAAAGGUGGUUUCGGCUUUCACUUAUGGAAGGACCCGAGUCGCAUUAAGUUAUUGGUGAGGUAAAGGCUCACCAAGGCAACGUUUCGUAACCGACUUGGAAGGGUGAUUGGCCUCACUGGGAAUGAGACACGGCCCCGAAUCCUUCGGGAGGCAGCCGUAGGGAAUUUUUCGCAAUGGGCGAAAAUCUGAAGGAGCACCGCCGCGUGAGUGAUGAAGGCUUUCGGGUUGUAAAACUCUGUUGUUAGGGAAGAACGAGUACUAGUUGAAUAUGCUGGCACCUUGACGGUACCUAACCAGAAAGCCCCGGCUAACUACGUGCCAGCAGCCGCGGUAAUACGUAGGGGGCAAGCGUUAUCCGGAAUUAUUGGGCGUAAAGCGCGCGCAGGCGGUUUGUUAAGUCUGAUGUGAAAGCCCACGGCUCAACUUUGGAGGGUCAUUGGAAACUGGGAGACUUGAGUGCAGAAGAGGAAAGUGGAAUUCCAUGUGUAGCGGUGAAAUGCGUAGAGAUAUGGAGGAACACCAGUGGCGAAGGCGACUCUCUGGUCUGUAACUGACGCUGAGCGCGUAAGCUCUAGC